rnacentral:rRNA from 1 species
UCUGUGAACUCCUACGGGAGGCAGCAGUGGGGAAUUUUGGACAAUGGGCGCAAGCCUGAUCCAGCAAUGCCGCGUGCAGGAAGAAGGCCUUCGGGUUGUAAACUGCUUUUGUACGGAACGAAAAGGCUCUGGUUAAUACCUGGGGCACAUGACGGUACCGUAAGAAUAAGCACCGGCUAACUACGUGCCAGCAGCCGCGGUAAUACGUAGGGUGCAAGCGUUAAUCGGAAUUACUGGGCGUAAAGCGUGCGCAGGCGGUUUUGUAAGACAGGCGUGAAAUCCCCGGGCUUAACCUGGGAAUUGCGUUUGUGACUGCAAGGCUGGAGUGCGGCAGAGGGGGAUGGAAUUCCGCGUGUAGCAGUGAAAUGCGUAGAUAUGCGGAGGAACACCGAUGGCGAAGGCAAUCCCCUGGGCCUGCACUGACGCUCAUGCACGAAAGCGUGGGGAGCAAACAGGAUUAGAAACCCGAGUAGUCCAUCAGCG